AUUGAACGCUGGCGGCAGGCCUAACACAUGCAAGUCGAACGAGUGGCGGACGGGUGAGUACUGUCUGGGAAACUGACCGAUGGAGGGGGAUAACUACUGGAAACGGAAGCUAAUACCGCAUACCAUCGGAUGUGCCCAGAUGGUAUGAGCUAGUAGGUGGGGUAACGGCUCACCUAGGCGACGAUCCCUAGCUGGUCUGAGAGGAGGACCAGCCACACUGGAACUGAGACACGGUCCAGACUCCUACGGGAGGCAGCAGUGGGGAAUAUUGGACAAUGGGGGAAACCCUGAUGCAGCCAUGCCGCGUGUAUGAAGAAGGCCUUCGGGUUGUAAAGUACUUUCAGCGGGGAGGCGUUACCUGCAGAAGAAGCACCGGCUAACUCCGUGCCAGCAGCCGCGGUAAUUC
rnacentral:rRNA from 1 species